GACGAACGCUGGCGGCGUGCUUAACACAUGCAAGUCGAACGGAAAGGCCUGCUUUCCCUUGUGGAUUGCGGGUACUCGAGUGGCGAACGGGUGAGUAACACGUGAGUGAUCUGCCCCCAACUUGGGUAUAAGCCUGGGAAACUGGGUCUAAUUCCCGAUAGGACUGCAGGGUGGUGCCUGUGGUGGAAAACGAUUUUCUAGUGGUUGGGGAUGAGCUCGCGGCCUAUCAGCUUGUUGGUGGGGUAAUGGCCUACCAAGGCGGCGACGGGUAGCCGGCCUGGGAGGGUGGACGGCCACAUUGGGACUGAGAUACGGCCCAGACUCCUACGGGAGGCAGCAGUGGGGAAUAUUGCACAAUGGGCGGAAGCCUGAUGCAGCGACGCCGCGUGGGGGAUGACGGCCUUCGGGUUGUAAACUCCUUUCGACCGCGAGGAAGCCACCUGGUUGGAAGGGUGGUGACGGUAGUGGUGGAAGAAGCACCGGCUAACUACGUG
rnacentral:rRNA from 1 species